UACCUACGUGAAGUAUUCUGAAUGCUGUAAUUGUUUUAUUUAAAUUAUGGGAGUAAUGGCCUGGAUUUUGUCCAAAGCGUUGUAAUACAGCUUUGGCACCAUUCAGACCACUACACCUAAUUUCACCUUUAUACC